rnacentral:rRNA from 1 species
UAAGGAAUAUUGGACAAUGGAGGCAACUCUGAUCCAGCCAUGCCGCGUGAAGGAAUAAGGCCCUAUGGGUUGUAAACUUCUUUUAGACGGGACAAAACCCCUUUACGAGUAAAGGGUUGAUGGUACUGUCAGAAUAAGCAUCGGCUAACUUCGUGCCAGCAGCCGCGGUAAUACGAAGGAUGCAAGCGUUAUCCGGAAUUAUUGGGUUUAAAGGGUGCGUAGGCGGACUAAUAAGUCAGUGGUGAAAGCCUGCAGCUUAACUGCAGAAUUGCCAUUGAUACUGUUUGUCUUGAGUACAGUUGAGGUAGGCGGAAUGUGUCAUGUAGCGGUGAAAUGCUUAGAUAAGACACAGAACACCGAUUGCGAAGGCAGCUUGCUAAGCUGUAACUGACGCUGAGGCACGAAAGCGUGGGGAGCAAACA